CCUACGGGAGGCAGCAGUGGGGAAUAUUGGACAAUGGGGGGAACCCUGAUCCAGCCAUGCCGCGUGUGUGAAGAAGGCCCUCGGGUUGUAAAGCACUUUCAGUGAGGAAGAACGCCUGGUGGUUAAUACCCAUCAGGAAAGACAUCACUCACAGAAGAAGCACCGGCUAACUCCGUGCCAGCAGCCGCGGUAAUACGGAGGGUGCGAGCGUUAAUCGGAAUUACUGGGCGUAAAGCGCGCGUAGGUGGCUUGAUAAGCCGGUUGUGAAAGCCCCGGGCUCAACCUGGGAACGGCAUCCGGAACUGUCAAGCUAGAGUGCAGGAGAGGAAGGUAGAAUUCCCGGUGUAGCGGUGAAAUGCGUAGAGAUCGGGAGGAAUACCAGUGGCGAAGGCGGCCUUCUGGACUGACACUGACACUGAGGUGCGAAAGCGUGGGUAGCAAACAGGACUAGAUACCCCGGUAGUC
rnacentral:rRNA from 1 species